CUGACUUUCCAUCCCUGCCGAACCUGCUCGAAUCACAGCCAUGUCCGGGGACGAGAUGAUUUUUGAUCCUACUAUGAGCAAAAAGAAAAAGAAGAAGAAGAAGAAGCCUUUUAUGUUAGAUGAAGAAGGUGAUGCCCAGACAGAAGAAACUCAGCCCUCAGAGACAAAAGAAGUGGAGCCAGAACCAACUGAAGAAAAAGAUGUGGAAGCUGACGAAGAAGACAGUAGGAAAAAAGAUGCUUCUGAUGACUUAGAUGACUUGAACUUCUUUAAUCAAAAGAAAAAGAAGAAAAAGACAAAAAAGAUAUUUGAUAUUGAUGAAGCUGAAGAAGCUAUAAAGGAUGUUAAGAUUGAAAGUGAUGUUCAAGAGCCAGCUGAGCCAGAGGAUGACCUUGAUAUUAUGCUUGGCAAUAAAAAGAAGAAAAAGAACAAUGUUAAAUUCCCAGAAGAAGAUGAAAUACUAGAAAAAGAUGAAGCUUUAGAAGAUGAAGAUGGCAAAAAAGAUGAUGGCGUUUCAUUCAGUAACCAAACUGGGCCUGCUUAGGUAGGCUCAGAAAGAGACUAUACAUAUAAAGAGUUGCUGAACAGAGUUCUCUCAACAUCAUGAGAGAAAAGAAUCCAGAUAUGGUUGCUGGAGAGAAGAGGAAAUUUGUUAUGAAACCUCCACAGGUUGUCUGAGUAGGAACCAAGAAAACUUCUUUUGUUAAUUUUACAGACAUCUGUAAACUAUUACAUUGUCAACCCAAACAUCUCCUUGCAUUUUUUUUUUUUGGCAGAAUUGGGUACAAGUGGUUCUAUAGAUGGUAAUAACCAACUUGUAAUCAAAGGAAGAUUCCAACAGAAACAGAUAGAAAAUGUCUUAAGAAGAUAUAUCAAGGAAUACGUCACUUGUCAUACGUGUUGGUCACCAGACACAAUUCUAGAGAAGGACACCCGACCCUGCUUCUUACAGUGUGAAACUUGUCAUUCUCGAUGCUCUGUAGCCAGUAUCAAAACUGGCUUCCAGGCUGUCACAGGCAAGCGAGCACAGCUCCAUGCCAAAGCUAACUAAUUUGCUAAUCACCAUUGAUUUUUCCAAAAUGUGUUGGCGAUUUGGCUGGACAGGUUACCAUCAGAGUGGAUGUA